CGGUUAAAAAGCUCGUAGUUGGAUUUCUGUUGAAGUCAGCCGGUGCACACUUCGUGUGUUAUUUGGCCUGGCUUUGGCAUCCUCUGGGGGAACGUCUCUGGCCUUAAUUGGACAGGGCGAGAUUCCAGACUCUUACUUUGAGGAAAUUAGAGUGUUCACAGCAGGCAAGUGCUUUGAAUACAUUAGCAUGGAAUAAUAAUAUAGGACCUUCGUUCUAUUUUGUUGGUUUCUAGGACUUAGGUAAUGAUUAAUAGGGACAAUUGGGGGCAUUCGUAUUAACGCGUCAGAGGUGGAAUUCUUGGAUUGCGUUACGACGAACUACUGCGAAAGCAUUUGCCAAAGAUGUUUUCAUUGAUCAAGAACGAAAGUAUGGGGAUCGAAGACGCUUAGAUACCGUCGUAGUCUAUACCAUAAACCAUGCCAACUAGGGAUGUGACGGGUACUCUUUUAUGGCUCGUUGCGCACCUUAUGAGAAAUCAAAGUUUUUGGGUUCCGGGGGGAGUAUUGUCGCAAGGCCGAAACUUAAAGGAAUUGACGGGAGGGCACCACCAGGAGUGGAGCCUGCGGCUUAAUUUGACUCAACACGGGAAAACUCACCAGGUCCAGACAUAGUGAGGAUUGACAGAUUGAUAGCUCUUUCU
rnacentral:rRNA from 1 species